CUACUUUCCUGAGAGAACUGAAGUUUGAGAGUAGAAGGCAUGCCCUUAGGUGGGAACAAGGACAGCAUGAAAUGAAACAGGAAAGGAAGGUUCUUCUAAGGAGGCUUUCACAGUACAGUCACUCCUGGAAGGUUCUCCACCAGCCUCAAACUUGUGAAGCAGAGGAUGAAGUCCCAGACACUGGCAUCAGAAAGAAAAGCCUCUUGGCUGAAGAGCACAAUGGUGGAGUAGAAGCAAGAGGACAUCCUCUGGUCAUGCGGGAAGCUCUCAUGUCUACACAGCCUGAAUCCUCACCAUGAAAAGCUUUGAGGAGAAAGGGAGAGACUGGGGCAGAGAAAAAUGGACACAGCCUCCCAUGAGUACAGCAAAUGCCUCCACAGACUCUUUCAAAGCUCCAUAUUCACUGAUAUACACUCAGCGUCCCUCUUUUGUAUGACCUCUUGAAGUUAUCCCCACUUUGAUUUUCCGUGAUCAUAACCCAAACUUUUCCUUCUUUCUUUCUUUUUUUUUUUUUUUGUUGUUUUGUUUUGGUUUUGUUUUGUUUUUGGUUUCUUUGUGGAGUGAAAAGGAGGCUGACCUUCUUAAAACAGAGGAACAUUUCAGAGUUAUCCAACACAUGAAAUUAUACUUCCAAAAAUCAGAGAUGUUCUCCAGUACUCAUUAAAGCUAGCCAGAAAUGGAACUAAUAUAAACCUUGGCCAUUCUCCCAGCUGAGUGCCCUAAUAAUAGAAAUGCCCCUCUGACUGAGUAGCUGAUACUGGGGUUCUGCCAAGUCAUUUCCAUUAAAAAGAGCCAUUGGUGACAGACGUCCAGUACAAUA